GGGCUGCUUUUCUUCAGCUGGUAAUCAAAUUGGAGCUAAAAUGAAAUUGAGUUUUCUUAUGAAAAUAGCCUUUGUUGCUGGGAAGGCUGGUAAUUCAUAAACAAUAACCUGCUCUUUUGUGUGGAUAAUAAUAUAUUCAUGUUCUUUCAAUAGGGUAAAAGCCAGACCUAGUGCAUUAUGGUACAGUAAAAAUAGCAGAAGGAGCUUGCUGGAAUAAUCUUGAAGAAGAAAUGUAGCAUUCGGUGACUUAAGCUUUCAGCUCCCAUCUGAAAUUGUACUUUGCUUUUAUUUGCGAGCCGGGCUUUAGUUGUUGAUUUGUUGCUGCUAUACAAUAUUUGGUUAAUUGUGGAAGAUCUCAAGCUGUGCUCAUCACUGCUCCCGCGAAGGCUGCUGCCAGCUGCUAGAAGCAGAGCCUGCUGCUACAGGAUGUACACUAUUCACAGGAGCAGCCUCUCAGCGCUGAUUAUCACUGAAGAGGUCCUCGCUCUCCAUCGCUGCACCCCGCGCGCAGCCGGACUGCCGAGCGCAGGAGGAAGGCUCUCCCCUCUCCUCAGGACUGCUGUGAUCAACAGAUGAUGGAAGGUGAGGGAUAUUUGUCACAGAAACAUCAUUUCUUUGGUACACACCAAAAGAAAAUGGCUAAGACUGUGUAACCAAGUAAAGGCAGUAUUCAGACUGUCAACAAGAACUGCUCAGCUUGAGUGCUGCCAUGUUUCCAGGCAGUCCCUGGCACAGCAGGAUGAUUCAGAGCACCUGAGGCAGAUAUCUCAAUUCCAAACACAGUUGGUGCAGAAAUGUGGUCACCUCUGAAAUCAUUCAAAGCAGCUGGGACCUUAUCUCUCUCCAUUGCCUGAGCAGGUCACUGAAACUCCCACCCACCAAUCACCUGGGAAACCUCUCAGUUUAGAUCUGAACAAGUGCUGAACCUCAGUCACCUUCAUCCACUUGAAAUCCAGAGCACUGAGUCCUCUCUUGAGAACAAGCAGCUAAUGAUGGAGGAGGAAGAGGCAGCAGCCACUUCAGAAUAACUUCAUUGUUUGAACACUCUUACAAGAAGUGGGAAACAUGGAUUUUAAGCCUUUCUCAGACUGAAGGGGUUUGAACCGCAAUUCCCUUUUCCUCAGAGCUUAUCCUACCCAUCGAGCUAGAGAAGUUCUUCAUUCUGCUCACUAUGCGAGGCCAUAGAGCAGAGAGAGAAUAGGUAAGAGGGAGCUUGAUUUUGCAGCCCAUUGUUGAGGGCAACCAUGAGAGAGUCCUGAGGCUCGGUCCCAGCUGUCACCGCUAUUUAAGCAUUCUUUACUGUUAAUUUUUAAUACAGGCACUCAAGCAGUCAAGCAGCCAUGGCUGGCAAUCUGUAUGGGCUGCACUGUUUAAAUUCUGCCUGAAUUUGUACUAAGCACCAAAAACAUGUGAGCCACCUACUGCCCUAAGCCCUGAACUUCUCACACCCCAUGGUAAGUGCCUAACUGAGACUGUAGCAGCGGAGUUGUCUAAUUAGGAAUAGAGUUGUUCAAGGUCCUCGGCAAAGGUAGUUGAAAGAGGAAACUCCAGAGGAGCAGUGAGUCUGUGCCUCAUCUGAAUCACAUUCUGGAAGCACCUGCUCUUCUAUGUUGAUUGCAAACAGGGUCUACGAUGACAGCAUUCCUCAAAUAAGACUCUCAGAAGAAUUCAAUAUGCUCAAACCAUAUUUUGGAAUGUCAUUUAUUUCUCCAGUCCAUUUGCAGUUAUUGCUGUUAUUUUCCUCUCUGUCCACCUCAGAAUGGUGGAUAAAGGUACAGUGGAAUUGUCUAGACACCACCUAAGUGCAAAGAAUGCAACUGAGCAAUGAUUUUUCAUGGAGAAGCAUGGUGCAGUCCAGGAAACUUACACACAGCAAAACCCUCACUCCUUCAUGAAGUCAGCACACCAAGAAAGGAUACUAUCAGAAAGAUAAUAGGCACACCUGACACACAGUGUCAAUCAAUUCAUCGACCUGCUUUUUAUGGCAUGAAACGCAUCUGCACAGUGAAACCAUCUGACAAUUUCAAAAUGUAAACUGCAUUCGUCAUGCUCUUUUUUUCUUUUUUUCUUCUUUUUUACCCUGGAACAUUAUUAUUAUUUGAAACAGUGGCUCUCUUAUAGGCAAGAAGCUGUAGAAGGGUAGCAACAAGGUGCAAUACUGAUGGACUGCCUGCGUAGUGACAGAGCUGAGAGCUGUGGAGAUCCCUCUUGAGGGAUAUCUGUAUUGGAGUAUCUGUAUUGCAGACGGGGCACUGUGAAUGAUUCUGGGAUUGUGAGAUCUUUUGGUCCUGGACACUACAUCUUGCUAUAUGCUUCCAAAAUCGCUUGUUGAUUUUUUUUUUUUUCCUGGAGCCUCAUGCCAUUAUUGUAUAAGUAGUGCUAGCAAAAUCAAAACUAGGCCAGUAUAGAUUCUUUUUUUUGUUUGUUUGUUUGUUUUUGAGAUGUGCCCUUUUGGAGUUUUGAGUGGAGGAACAGCACUUUGUCUUUGCCAUCCACAAUAUACGGAAACCAGACACUAUCUCAGUUAAACACUCGAAAUAUUAUAGUUGUCCUCAGUCCUCACCAGUGGUAAUUGGCCUCUCCUUCCAGUUAAGCUGUUGACACAACCUGAAUAAAGAUCAUAUAACUUGAGUUCUCUGAUGGUCCAUAUAUAUUCACCACCAUCUUUCAUGGCUUCUAUCAUCUUGAGUAAUGUAUGCUUAAUCUAACUGUGCAACUCUCAGUGGCCCAUCAUGGAGGCGCUGGAUACAACACAGCUACUGUGUCCCUUCAGGUCAUUUGCCACAUACAGUCACUUUUACUGCAGUCUAAACACAAAACGUGAAGUUUUUUUCAUCUCUAGAACUACCAGAAUUUACAGGUUGUGCUUUUUUUUCAAGUUUUCCUAGGGUGGUACCUACCUUGGUAAUGUUCAGAUGUGAUGACUGUAGGAGGUCUCAUCUGCUGUGUCUUCUUGCUCAGGUUGCCUGCAGCAGAUCCCCACUAUGUCACCUAAACUCUCAGUCAGCUCCCAUUCAACCCCAGGCAGAGCUCCAUGCACUCCAGCUGGCCACUGACAGAGGGGACAAUGUCCCCUUCCUUGUCUCUGCAUUCUGUCCUUCCUAAAAAGCCUGUAUUCUUCCAUUGCAGUAUUCCAGCCGUGGAAGCUAUACCACUGCAUCUUCAUGAUCCCAGUGACAUUGUGUCCCUGAACGAUUAUACUCAUCUCUAAGUCGCUUUGUUUAGCCCCCAUACUGCCUAUGCUAGGCCAAAUGGCCUCUCAAGGUCUCUUCCAACCUCAACCAGUCUGUGACUGUUGUUGCUGGCUGUGUAAUCCCACAAAAUCAUUAACAGGGCAUGAGGGUGAUCAGUUCAAGAACCACGGCAACAGUACUUGCCUACUCAUUUCACUGUAUCACUUGACUUUAUUCCGAUAAGCAGCACUUAUUGGUGAUGAAGUACAAGCCAAGAAGCAAGGAUGUACUUAUUUAAUCUGUAACCCAGAUACAUCUUGUUGUGGAUAAGGAAAAUAGAUUCUCUUUAAUAUUCCUUAAACAUCCCUUUUCUAUAUUAUCUUUAAAACUCUUCAUAAGUUUGAUUGUGAGAAACUGGGGCCAUCGUGUUCCCUUCUGUUCUGGCUAAUUUAAAUGUGGAUUUGAACAAUCAUUCACAUGAAUACUUCAGGUUAUAUCUAGUAUCCUUGUCAGAAAGCUCAGGUAAAGAAGCAGCAAAGAACCAGCAGAGCACUAUUCUAAAUGAAAAAUUUCCCCACAGGGCACAACUUUAUUCUCAUUUGAGAUCACAACCAUACCACUAAAGGUGACUUCACUUUCGGCUUCUGGCACCUUUUCCCCAUAGUAAUUCUUUGACUG
ensembl:lncRNA